ACAUGCAGUCGNNGAGANCUUCGGAUCUAGUGGCGCACGGGUGCGUAACGCGUGGGAAUCUGCCCUUGGGUUCGGAAUAACUUCUGGAAACGGAAGCUAAUACCGGAUGAUGACGUAAGUCCAAAGAUUUAUCGCCCAAGGAUGAGCCCGCGUAGGAUUAGCUAGUUGGUGAGGUAAAGGCUCACCAAGGCGACGAUCCUUAGCUGGUCUGAGAGGAUGAUCAGCCACACUGGGACUGAGACACGGCCCAGACUCCUACGGGAGGCAGCAGUAGGGAAUAUUGGACAAUGGGCGAAAGCCUGAUCCAGCAAUGCCGCGUGAGUGAUGAAGGCCUUAGGGUUGUAAAGCUCUUUUACCCGGGAUGAUAAUGACAGUACCGGGAGAAUAAGCUCCGGCUAACUCCGUGCCAGCAGCCGCGGUAAUACGGAGGGAGCUAGCGUUGUUCGGAAUUACUGGGCGUAAAGCGCACGUAGGCGGCUAUUCAAGUCAGAGGUGAAAGCCCGGGGCUCAACCCCGGAACUGCCUUUGAAACUAGAUAGCUUGAAUCCAGGAGAGGUGAGUGGAAUUCCGAGUGUAGA
rnacentral:rRNA from 1 species